rnacentral:rRNA from 1 species
UACGUAGGGUGCAAGCGUUGUCCGGAAUUCUUGGGCGUAAAGAGCUCGUAGGCGGUUUGUCGCGUCUGCUGUGAAAACUCGGGGCUUAACCCCGGGCCUGCAGUGGGUACGGGCAGACUAGAGUGCGGUAGGGGAGACUGGAAUUCCUGGUGUAGCGGUGAAAUGGGCAGAUAUCAGGAGGAACACCGGUGGCGAAGGCGGGUCUCUGGGCCGUAACUGACGCUGAGGAGCGAAAGCGUGGGGAGCGAACAGG